AGUCACUGACAUUAGAUACCCGCGUAGUCCAGGGUGUAAACGCUGCAGACUUGGUGUUGGAGGCCCUUUGGGGCAUUCAGUGCCGGAGAGAAGUUGUUAAGUCUGCUACUUGGGGAGUACGUCCGCAAGGAUGAAACUUAAAGGAAUUGGCGGGGGAGCACCGCAACGGGAGGAGCGUGCGGUUUAAUUGGAUUCAACACCGUAAACUCACCAGGGAAGACUGUUACAUGAAGGCCGAGAUGAAGACUCUGCUAGAUUUUCAG
rnacentral:rRNA from 1 species